rnacentral:sRNA from 1 species
UAUUGUGUGUGUGUGUGUGUGUGUGUGUGUUGUACUAUAUUUACAGGUUGUUUUUCAUGUGAUGGCUGCUCGACCGGUGGAGGGGGGACGAACACGAACAUCAGAGGCUGGCAAUCAAGGAGUGAUGCAGCAGAUCAGUGGCGACAUCCAGCGGGACAUCCAAGGAGUACAGGUAAGUAGUAGGAGUGGAUUCAUCAGCAUCAACUGGAAUUUUAAAAGUGAGACUGGCAGUGGAACCAGCCAUGUAAUCAGCAACAGCACUGGCACUUGGGUGGCCAGCACCAGCUGCUGCAUUGACUGCAGUUGCAUCCACAACUGCAAUGGAGAUGGACAUCGACAUCUUCAUCUUCAUCAGCGGAGGCGGAGGCGGCGUCCAGAGUGAAGUUGCCAGCCCGGAGACUGGUAUGAGGCGCCAGCAGUGCAAUAUGCACCACCAACACCAGCAUCGGCAACAGGAUCAUCGGCGUCAUCAACAUCAGUGGAAAUGGCGCAGACAUCAAGUGGCUUCAGCAUCAUUAGCUCUGGUGCGAGCAAAUGCAAAAUGUCGUGUCAUGGGCAAAUGCAUGCAGCCUGUCAUCUAGCUGCAAGCCCAUACACAUUGAAUGGCCAAUUGUCGCCCACAAUAAGACGACAAGUAUCGAGAGUCUCUGUCUGCACCCACAAUGACAGCCUGCCGGUCAUCAAUAUGGACACGUAGCAGGGAGUGCAGAGCAAUUACUAUUCGAUUGAUCAGUCAUCAUCUUCGCCGCAGAAGCAGCAUACUGGACACCAUUGACGCCAACAACAACAUUUUCACCAUGCGCAAUUGCGACAAGAGUGCGUUAGAUAAUAAGGAGGAGUGGAUUGCUACUGGGUGAGUAUUGAUAUUAUUAUUAUUAUUGUUAAGUGAAGUGGGUGAGUGUAGAAAAUUAUAGUAGUUGAAUUAGGUUUGUAUAGGCUAUAAGAACAGGUAGUCAUUAUAUAUUUGGGGUCUUAUUUGCGAUUUGUUGCCUGCUACUGCUAAUGCUGGCAGACAAGCAGGUUGUUAGCGCGGACAUCAUAUCUAUUAGACGAUCCAGCUUGUUGACGAUAGCCUUGUUGAUGGCUGAAUUAGCAUUCUCAAUUGAAUUUGAAUUUG